AACGAACGCUGGCGGCAUGCCUAACACAUGCAAGUCGAACGAGACCUUCGGGUCUAGUGGCGCACGGGUGCGUAACGCGUGGGAACCUGCCCUUAGGUUCGGAAUAACUCCCCGAAAGGGGUGCUAAUACCGGAUAAUGUCUUCGGACCAAAGAUUUAUCGCCUUUGGAUGGGCCCGCGUUGGAUUACCUAGUUGGUAGGGUAAAAGCCUACCAAGGCGACGAUCCAUAGCUGGUCUGAGAGGAUGAUCAGCCACACUGGGACUGAGACACGGCCCAGACUCCUACGGGAGGCAGCAGUGGGGAAUAUUGGACAAUGGGCGAAAGCCUGAUCCAGCAAUGCCGCGUGAGUGAUGAAGGCCUUAGGGUUGUAAAGCUCUUUUACCCGGGAUGAUAAUGACAGUACCGGGAGAAUAAGCUCCGGCUAACUCCGUG
rnacentral:rRNA from 1 species